rnacentral:tRNA from 1 species
GUUAAAGUAGCAGAGCGCGGUUACUGCCGAAGGCCUAAGCCCUUCUUACAGAGGUUCAAAUCCUCUCUCUAACU